rnacentral:rRNA from 1 species
AUAACUGGCUUGUGGCAGCCAAGCGUUCAUAGCGACGUUGCUUUUUGAUCCUUCGAUGUCGGCUCUUCCUAUCAUUGCGAAGCAGAAUUCGCCAAGCGUCGGAUUGUUCACCCGCCAAUAGGGAACGUGAGCUGGGCUUAGACCGUCGUGAGACAGGUU